rnacentral:rRNA from 1 species
UACGAAGGGGGCUAGCGUUGUUCGGAAUUACUGGGCGUAAAGGGCGCGUAGGCGGUGUGUCAAGUCAGGCGUGAAAUCCCCGGGCUCAACCUGGGAAUGGCAUUUGGGACUGCAAGGCUGGAGUGCGGCAGAGGAGACUGGAAUUCCUGGUGUAGCAGUGAAAUGCGUAGAUAUCAGGAGGAAUACCGAUGGCGAAGGCAGGUCUCUGGGCUGACACUGACGCUCAUGCACGAAAGCGUGGGGAGCAAACAGG